ACCGCCCACGAGUAUCCACCGACAGUGAAGGUAUCGGAGGCCACGUAUUUGCCUAUCCCCAUCCCUUUGGCCAGAGAGAAUCCGCUGAUUUUGAACUCGUGCGAGCCGUUGAUGGUCUCCGUGCGAGAGGUAGACUCCGAGAGGGUCGAUUUCGAAGAUCCGGGAACCUCCGCGCAAACCCUAAUCGCGUCCAUCGAACAAAUCCGAGACCGCAAAAUUGAAUCUUUCGUCGAUCUUCUUCGUCGGAGUAAGUAUCCUUGCAGGACCCAAGUCUUCG
rnacentral:lncRNA from 1 species